CACACAACUACAACAUCGAGACAAUCACUGAUGAUCGAAUAGAAAUCUAAGUGAUCUCUCGUAUGGUCACGCACAGUACUAGUUAUUCUGUAAUAACUAUCCGCACUCGUUGUCCUGUAUUUUUACAUAGUAGAUCAGAGACUCAUCUAUUCUGAAGGAAGUAAUUUGUGCGUCAGUUUAUUCGAAUCAAUCACCAUCCUCA
rnacentral:lncRNA from 1 species